ACCAAAUUUUAAUUACAUGUAUAAAAUAUUUUAUGUCCAAUAAAUAAAAUAUACAUGUUCAGACGAUUUGGGAAAAUAACAUGAAAAUAAUUAAUUUAUAAAAUUAUUUCAAAUGUUAUAUUUGUUAUAAUUUGUACAUUAUAAAUUAAUAUAAUUUUCGUCGCUUAUCACCUUAGCAUGCAUUUAUUGUUUGUUCCUUUAUGAAUAUAUAAUAAAUAUUUAUGCAAUUUGUGUUUUUGUACAUUUGUUGUAUAUCUCUUUAUUAUUAUUUAUGAAUGAAUAAAUAAGACGGCAAUAUUUAUGACCAUGAUUAUUAAAUGCAUUGAGUCAUAAAAGCGGAACAAAA